rnacentral:misc_RNA from 1 species
CACACCUUUUCUGAACCCGACUUCCCAGAGAUUGCGAUACGGCCUGCGGGGGUGAAGUGGACUUCAGAUAAUUCGCGACGCAGCCAGCGCUUGCGAAGUGCAAGGUCUACGGCUCCCUGUUCGUCAGCGUUAUCUCGCGUGCCAUGCAGCCAGCCACGACUGAAGAAACGUACAGUCGGCCUCUGUCAGCUUAUUCAUCUACAGCUCCAUGAGGAUUGGUCCAGCGAAGAUUCGCUGCAAGGAGAGAACCCCGACUUCGAGGAUUCCGCGACUGAGACGGGCUCCAGGAUG